GAACGCACAUUGCGCCCGCGAGUAUUCUCGCGGGCAUGCCUGUCCGAGCGUCAUUUCAACCCUCAGGGCCCGCCUGCUUGCAGGCGCGGCGCUGGUGUUGGGGAUCGGCCCUAAACCGCCGUCCCCCAAAUUCAGUGGCGGUCUCGCUGCAGCCUCCCCUGCGUAGUAGCAACACUCGCAUGCGGAGCGCGGCGCGGCCACGCCGUAAAACCCCCGACUUUCUGAAAGUUGACCUCGGAUCAGGUAGGAAUACCCGCUGAACUUAAG
rnacentral:misc_RNA from 1 species